rnacentral:rRNA from 1 species
UGAACGCUAGCUACAGGCUUAACACAUGCAAGUCGAGGGGCAUCAGGAAGAAAGCUUGCUUUCUUUGCUGGCGACCGGCGCACGGGUGAGUAACACGUAUCCAACCUGCCCUUUACUCGGGGAUAGCCUUUCGAAAGAAAGAUUAAUACCCGAUAGUAUAAUGAUUCCGCAUGGUUUCAUUAUUAAAGGAUUCCGGUAAAGGAUGGGGAUGCGUUCCAUUAGGUUGUUGGUGAGGUAACGGCUCACCAAGCCUUCGAUGGAUAGGGGUUCUGAGAGGAAGGUCCCCCACAUUGGAACUGAGACACGGUCCAAACUCCUACGGGAGGCAGCAGUGAGGAGUAUUGGUCAAUGGGCGCUAGCCUGAACCAGCCAAGUAGCGUGAAGGAUGAAGGCUCUAUGGGUCGUAAACUUCUUUUAUAUAAGAAUAAAGUGCAGUAUGUAUACUGUUUUGUAUGUAUUAUAUGAAUAAGGAUCGGCUAACUCCGUGCCAGCAGCCGCGGUAAUACGGAGGAUCCGAGCGUUAUCCGGAUUUAUUGGGUUUAAAGGGAGCGUAGGUGGACUGGUAAGUCAGUUGUGAAAGUUUGCGGCUCAACCGUAAAAUUGCAGUUGAUACUGUCAGUCUUGGGUACAGUAGAGGUGGGUGGAAUUCGUGGUGUAGCGGUGAAAUGCUUAGAUAUCACGAAGAACUCCGAUUGCGAAGGCAGCUCACUGGACUGCAACUGACACUGAUGCUCGAAAGUGUGGGUAUCAAACAGGAUUAGAUACCCUGGUAGUCCACACAGUAAACGAUGAAUACUCGCUGUUUGCGAUAUACAGUAAGCGGCCAAGCGAAAGCAUUAAGUAUUCCACCUGGGGAGUACGCCGGCAACGGUGAAACUCAAAGGAAUUGACGGGGGCCCGCACAAGCGGAGGAACAUGUGGUUUAAUUCGAUGAUACGCGAGGAACCUUACCCGGGCUUAAAUUGCAGUGGAAUGAUGUGGAAACAUGUCAGUGAGCAAUCACCGCUGUGAAGGUGCUGCAUGGUUGUCGUCAGCUCGUGCCGUGAGGUGUCGGCUUAAGUGCCAUAACGAGCGCAACCCUUAUCUUUAGUUACUAACAGGUUAUGCUGAGGACUCUAGAGAGACUGCCGUCGUAAGAUGUGAGGAAGGUGGGGAUGACGUCAAAUCAGCACGGCCCUUACGUCCGGGGCUACACACGUGUUACAAUGGGGGGUACAGAAGGCAGCUAGCGGGUGACCGUAUGCUAAUCCCAAAAGCCUCUCUCAGUUCGGAUCGAAGUCUGCAACCCGACUUCGUGAAGCUGGAUUCGCUAGUAAUCGCGCAUCAGCCACGGCGCGGUGAAUACGUUCCCGGGCCUUGUACACACCGCCCGUCAAGCCAUGGGAGCCGGGGGUACCUGAAGUACGUAACCGCAAGGAUCGUCCUAGGGUAAAACUGGUGACUGGGGCUAAG